rnacentral:rRNA from 1 species
UACGUAGGGGGCAAGCGUUAUCCGGAUUUACUGGGUGUAAAGGGAGCGUAGACGGCAGCGCAUGUCUGGAGUGAAAUGCCGGGGCCCAACCCCGGAACUGCUUUGGAAACUGUGCAGCUCGAGUGCAGGAGAGGUAAGCGGAAUUCCUAGUGUAGCGGUGAAAUGCGUAGAUAUUAGGAGGAACACCAGUGGCGAAGGCGGCUUACUGGACUGUAGCUGACGUUGAGGCUCGAAAGCGUGGGGAGCAAACAGG